AUGAACGCUGGCGGCGUGCCUAAUACAUGCAAGUCGCGCGAACGGACGAGAAGCUUGCUUCUCUGAUGUAGCGGCGGACGGGUGAGUAACACGUGGAUAACCUACCUAUAAGACUGGGAUAACUUCGGGAAACCGUAGCUAAUACCGGAUAAUAUUUUGAACCGCAUGGUUCAAAAGUGAAAGACGGUCUUGCUGUCACUUAUAGAUGGAUCCGCGCUGCAUUAGCUAGUUGGUAAGGUAACGGCUUACCAAGGCAACGAUGCAUAGCCGACCUGAGAGGGUGAUCGGCCACACUGGAACUGAGACACGGUCCAGACUCCUACGGGAGGCAGCAGUAGGGAAUCUUCCGCAAUGGGCGAAAGCCUGACGGAGCAACGCCGCGUGAGUGAUGAAGGUCUUCGGAUCGUAAAACUCUGUUAUUAGGGAAGAACAUAUGUGUAAGUAACUGUGCACAUCUUGACGGUACCUAAUCAGAAAGCCACGGCUAACUACGUG
rnacentral:rRNA from 1 species